rnacentral:rRNA from 1 species
CUGGCUCAGGACGAACGCUGGCGGCGUGCCUAAUACAUGCAAGUCGAGCGGAUCUGUUCCUUCGGGGAUAGGUUAGCGGCGGACGGGUGAGUAACACGUAGGCAACCUGCCUGUAAGAUCGGGAUAACUACCGGAAACGGUAGCUAAGACCGGAUAGCUGGUUUCUUCGCAU